UGUAAAUGCUGUAAAUAAUUUCAGAGUAUAAUUUCCAAUGCCAAUAAGCAAUAAACGUUUAACUAAUAUUGUUCAGCUUGCUCAAUUUCGACUUGUGAAAUUCAGGCUCAGGCCCAUUAUGCUCCCCUGUACUGAUAACAGCAGUUGUCAGACACUCAAAGCCCGCCCACACUGAAAUCUGAUUGGUUCGCUUCGCAAAAUGAGCCAAUCAGAAUGCCGCUUGUCUGGGGAGUCGGGAUCUCUCUCUCUCUCGCUCUCUCUUAUUCUGUCGUGUGUGCGCUUGUUUGGCUGCUCUAGUUUUCGGGAUAUUUUUUGCAAUUUGCGGGCAUCAAUAUGUGGUAGAAUCCAGGAGACGUAAUAUUUCUGGCAGCCGCGUGUCUCCGUUUUAAUGCAACGUGAAGACACGCACGUUUUGCCAUUUUAUCGGUCGUGAAAAAAGUUUAAAAAAAAAGUUUUAAAAAAAAUCGAUUCCUCGUAGAAGCUCCGAGUCCGCUUGGAGAAGUGCGGUUCAUGCAAGGAAGCUUUCGUUCCACCGACACCUCCACUUUUUAAAGCUUCAGUCGGUGUAAAAGAAUGAAACCGUCGCUGCGCCGCAGUCUACAGAAUCGAUGCACUUUGGGGACUAACCAAACAAAGCCUCGAGGCAAAGGAUUUUACCUCGAAUAUUUUUUUUCUCGAAUGCUCGACUACUCGUUUUAGCCCCAAUUAGAAGGACGUCAAAAAUGUCUCAAUGUCUCAUCAUGUCUCAUCAUGAAAAGUGUUUAUUCGCGGAAGCAAGUGGACGAAUCAGGAGGAAGAUGAGAAGGAGGAAGCCGAGUUAUUACUGCAACACCAUCAGAGGCGUUUGGUUUUUGGUGCAUAGUCGGCGUGGACCAUGCCGGGUUGUGAAGGGUUCCCCGCGUUCCUGCUCACACGCAAAGGGCUGGUGAUGGUGGCGGAAAUGCUGACCAUCUUCAUCGCAGUCGUGUGCCAAGCCGUGUCAGGAGGAUGCUACAUCACCGUCCCCAUUGCUGAGCUGGUGCUGCUCAUCAUCAUGUUCGUUGUCUUCGUGAAGGAACUGUAUGCCACGUAUGGGACAGUAAACUGGUACUGGACUUCUUCAGAGCCGCCAUUGGCUGCCCACUUUUCCUCAUCACAUCGAGCAUCUGCCUCUCGUACGCCAGAACGCGUUCUGAGUUCGUCGCAGGAGGGAUCUUGGGCGUCGUGUCCGGAGUUCUGCUCGGUUGUGAUGCCGUCCUGGCGUUCACACUCAUAGGGGACAAAAAACAGGAGCAGCCACAGGCAAAUUUUGGACAAGUGAUCAUAUUUUAAUAUACAAAAAGAAUCUUGUAAUGCAAACUGUAUGAUAAUAUGUUUUAUAACAGCAGUGUUAACAAAAGUCAGCUUUACCUGUUUUAAUUGUGUAUUAUACAUUUUGAUUUAAUAUUAAAAUUUUGGUUUAUUGUCAUUGGACAUUACAUGUCUCCAUCUCUGUUGAUCCCACAUGCAGCUGUUGUGUAUCCAGAUUGACCAUUUACGUUUACGGCAUUUACCAGACGCCCUUAUCCAGAGCGACUUACAGUCAGUAGUUACAGGGACAGUCCCCCCUGGAGACACUCGGGGUUAAGUGUCUUGCUCAAGGACACGAUGGUAGUAAGUGGGGUUUGAAGUGAAAGUGAGGUGAUUGUCAAUGUGAAACACUGCAGCACAGCACAUGGUGACACAACAAAAUGUGUCCUCUGCAUUUAACCCAUCACCCUCAGUGAGCAGUGGGCAGCCAUGACAGGCGCCCGGGGAGCAGUGUGUGGGGACAGUGCUUUGCUCAGUGGCACCUCAGUUUCGGGAUUCGAACCGGCAACCUUCUGAUUACGGGACCACUUCUUUACCAGCUAGGCCACCACUGUCCCAAAAACCUGUGACUCUGUGGUCCUACCCAACAGGCUUCUACUGUAGCAGAUCUGCAUUUUUGGUGUGUCAAGUUUUAACAAAAAAACUCCUUAUCAAACUUCUUAUCUCUCUAAUGAAGGCCUGGUCUGCGUGGAAACACGUGACGUGAUAUUUUAGAUAACAUUCAUGCACGUACUGUGCAUGAAUGUAACAUUGUUCCCCUUCUGAUUAUUUUCUUCACCACAGACGUUUCCGGUGUGCAUUUGUCGUGGACUUCCACGAAUUUUAACCACAAUUUGAGCUUCCUGUUCCCUAUCUCUCUCUGUGAUCUGGCAUUACCAAAGUACAUGUACUCCUCUAUCCGUUAUUUUAGCUCUUUGCACCAUGGA
ensembl:lncRNA proteolipid protein 2-like